ACUGGCAAACCAAUCUAACACCAGGCAAAACGUGGAGAUUACCUUUACCGGUGAUGUUUAGGUCACGUGUGAGAUUCAAAUCAGCGACGAGCUUACACGUGGAAUCUAAAGAGCCAACACCUCCUAGGUACGCAUGAAACCGACGAUUCAUCAUCAUCCGGUGAAGGGUCCGGCGCCGGAGAAGGUGACGGCGGUUCGAAUCUAAUCGCAGUCUCAUCCCACGAAUUGAUUAAUUUCGGAUUUGCAGAUAUGAAGAUGAAGAAGACGAAACAGAGACAGAAUCUCACCAUUGAAAUCGAAAUCAUCUAACCAUUGUUCCACAAAACAAAGAAGACAUUUGGAUUCGAAGAACAAAGAGGCUAAACAACA
rnacentral:lncRNA from 1 species